GGCCUCUAUCAGAUCGUAAAGCAUUGGUCGGGGGUUGGGGAGGAUCAGCUAGGAUCUCAAUUAGGGUAUGUGCAGGCCAGCCAGGUGUCCAAGUUCUUUAGGUCUGCUGUGUCUCUUUCAUGGAUCGCUCUGAUCUCGAACGGAAGGUGAUUUGAAAUGAGAACUCGGUGUACUUUUCUUCUUUGGGCUUCGAUCAAAUUCGCAUGCAU
rnacentral:lncRNA from 1 species